rnacentral:rRNA from 1 species
AUUGAACGCUGGCGGCAGGCCUAACACAUGCAAGUCGAGCGGAUGAAGGGAGCUUGCUCCUGGAUUCAGCGGCGGACGGGUGAGUUAUGCCUAGGAAUCUGCCUGGUAGUGGGGGAUAACGUCCGGAAACGGGCGCUAAUACCGCAUACGUCCUGAGGGAGAAGGUGGGGGAUCUUCGGACCUCACGCUAUCAGAUGAGCCUAGGUCGGAUUAGCUAGUUGGUGGGGUAAAGGCCUACCAAGGCGACGAUCCGUAACUGGUCUGAGAGGAUGAUCAGUCACACUGGAACUGAGACACGGUCCAGACUCCUACGGGAGGCAGCAGUGGGGAAUAUUGGACAAUGGGCGAAAGCCUGAUCCAGCCAUGCCGCGUGUGUGAAGAAGGUCUUCGGAUUGUAAAGCACUUUAAGUUGGGAGGAAGGGCAGUAAGUUAAUACCUUGCUGUUUUGACGUUACCAACAGAAUAAGCACCGGCUAACUUCGUG